rnacentral:rRNA from 1 species
GAUGAACGCUGGCGGCGUGCCUAACACAUGCAAGUCGAGCGAACAGACGAGGAGCUUGCUCCCCUGACGUUGGCAGCGGACGGGAGAGUAACACGUGGAUGAACUACCUAUAAGACUGGGAUAACAACGGGAAACAGGAUCUAAUGCCGGAUAAUAUAUCGAACCGCAUGGUUCCAUAGUGAAAGACGGUUUUGCUUUCGCUAAUAGCUUGAUAAGCGCCGCAUGAGCUAGUUGGUAAGGUAACGGCUUAGCAAGGCAACGAGGCGUAGCCGACCUGAGAGGGUGAUCGGACACACUGGAACUGAGACACGGUACAGACUCCGACGGGAGGCAGCAGUAGGGAAUCUUCCGCAAUGGGCGAAAGCCUGACGGAGCAACACCGCGUGAGUGAUGAAGGUCCUAGGAUGGGAAAGCGCUGUUGUCCGGAAAGAAGAAAUGCUUAAGUACCUAUGCAGGUCAUGACGGUACCGAAUCAAUAAGCUCCGGCUAACUCCGUG